rnacentral:rRNA from 1 species
CGAUACGAGUUUGAUCCUGGCUCAGAAUGAACGCUGGCGGCAGGCCUAACACAUGCAAGUCGAACGAAGCCUUCGGGCUUAGUGGCGGACGGGUGAGUGACGCGUGGGAACAUACCCAAAGGUACGGAAUAGCCUCGGGAAACUGGGAGUAAUACCGUAUGUGCCCUUCGGGGGAAAGAUUUAUCGCCUUUGGAUUGGCCCGCGUUGGAUUAGGUAGUUGGUGGGGUAAUGGCCUACCAAGCCGACGAUCCAUAGCUGGUUUGAGAGGAUGAUCAGCCACACUGGGACUGAGACACGGCCCAGACUCCUACGGGAGGCAGCAGUGGGGAAUCUUAGACAAUGGGCGCAAGCCUGAUCUAGCCAUGCCGCGUGAUCGAUGAAGGCCUUAGGGUUGUAAAGAUCUUUCAGAUGGGAAGAUAAUGACGGUACCAUCAGAAGAAGCCCCGGCUAACUCCGUG